CCAUUGCAAUUUACAUUUCAGUGUAAAGCUGUUGUGAUGGGAAACAUUACACAUGUAACUCACUUCAUACUUGUCUCAACAGUGAUUCUUCUAAAGGAAGCACUUCUGAAAACACAAGACAUGAUGGGAUGGACAACAGACCCUAUGAAGAGAUUGGUUCUACUAUCAGUCAUACUUAUGAAAGCUUAAGACAUGAUGGAAUGGACAGCACAGCCUAUGAAGAGAUAGGUCUGUCAAGGAGUGUGCACCAUCCCCAUGUGUCACAGCCUCCACCACUCUAUGAAAACACACUGCGUCCUGGUUGGCAACCACCAAGGCAGACAAACAGGUGCGUCCCACCAAAUGAAAGCUGUGGCAGUGAGGUGAGAUGUGUGUGU